GCGCCCGUAGCUCAACUGGACAGAGCAUCCGCCUUCUAAGCGGAAGCGUGUGGGUUCGACUCCCACCGGGCGUAC
rnacentral:tRNA from 1 species